GUUAAAGAUGAAGUAGAAGAGACAGAUUUAUGCGGCGAUCAGCAGGAUGAAAGAAGUCCCCUCGAGAGAUGUCCCCGUCUUCUGUAUUCCCAGGACUGUCCAGAGGAGAAGCUCCCAGAGAACCAUCAGGAUGAAAAUCUGAUGGAUAUUAAGGCUGAGGCUAAAGAUGAAGCAGAAGAGGAGACGGAUUUAUG